rnacentral:rRNA from 1 species
GACGAACGCUAGCGGCGUGCUUAACACAUGCAAGUCGAACGGUAAGGCCCUUCGGGGUACACGAGUGGCGAACGGGUGAGUAACACGUGGGUGAUCUGCCCUGCACUUCGGGAUAAGCCUGGGAAACUGGGUCUAAUACCGGAUAGGACUCCGGACUGCAUGGUCUGGGGUGGAAAGCUUUUGCGGUGUGGGAUGGGCCCGCGGCCUAUCAGCUUGUUGGGGGGGUGAUGGCCUACCAAGGCGACGACGGGUAGCCGGCCUGGGAGGGUGACCGGCCACACUGGGACUGAGAUACGGCCCAGACUCCUACGGGAGGCAGCAGUGGGGAAUAUUGCACAAUGGGCGCAAGCCUGAUGCAGCGACGCCGCGUGAGGGAUGACGGCCUUCGGGUUGUAAACCUCUUUCAGCAUCGACGAAGCGAAAGUGACGGUAGGUGCAGAAGAAGGACCGGCCAACUACGUGCCAGCAGCCGCGGUAA